GUCCCUUCAGGGACAUCCGAUAAAAUUGGAACGAUACUGAGAAAAUUAGCAUGGCCCCUCCGCAAGGAUGACACACAAAUUUUAAGCAUCACCAGACAUAA